rfam:Weeksella virosa DSM 16922, complete genome.
GGGGCUGACUGGUUUUGACAGCAAGGAUAAUGGAUAAGUAAGCACGUCGUGCAAUGUUGUGUACGCACGUUAAUCUGGCACUUCGACUUUUUAACUGGCAACGAAGAAUACGCUUUAGCUGCUUAAUCGACCGAAUUAUAGUAAGUCUCAAGCCACGUUCGUACAAUGUACGAAAGCUGAAUGUCUCUCAAAAGCCUCGCCUUACGGCGUUUGAUACAGAGGCACAGGAAUGUAAGGAUAGAUUGACUUUUGUUUCGCAAGUCAUUCGAAAAUUUAGAAACUAAGCUUAUAGCAAGAUGUUUGUUUCUGGCUGUAAGUCGAAAAUAGAGAAUAAACUAAGCGUGUAGAAAGCUUAUUGGUUACUUGUUUGGACGCGGGUUCGAAUCCCGCCAGCUCCACAA